GACGAACGCUGGCGGCGUGCUUAAUACAUGCAAGUCGAGCGAGGUUAUUCAUUCAAAUUCCUUCGGGAUGGCGAAUUUUUAACCUAGCGGCGGACGGGUGAGUAACGCGUGGGCAACCUGCCCUAAAGCCCGGGAUAACAGUGGGAAACUACUGCUAACACCGGAUGGUCUCAUUUUGUGGCAUCAUAAGAUGAGUAAAGGUUACGCUUUAGGAUGGGCCCGCGUCCCAUUAGCUAGUUGGUGAGGUAACUGCUCACCAAGGCGACGAUGGGUAGCCGGCCUGAGAGGGUGGACGGCCACACUGGGACUGAGACACGGCCCAGACUCCUACGGGAGGCAGCAGUAGGGAAUAUUGCGCAAUGGAGGGAACUCUGACGCAGCGACGCCGCGUGAGCGAUGAAGGUCUUCGGAUCGUAAAGCUCUGUCCUCAGGGAAGAAGGUUAUUAACUUGACGGUACCUGAGGAGGAAGCCCCGGCUAACUACGUGCCAGCAGCCGCGGUAAUCACGAG
rnacentral:rRNA from 1 species